rnacentral:rRNA from 1 species
GGACGGAAAUAACCUCGGGAAACUGAGAAUAAUGUCCGAUAGAACACUAUGCCUGGAAUGGUUUGUGUUCCAAAUGAUUUAUCGCCGUAGGAUGGGACUGCGGCCUAUCAGUUUGUUGGUGAGGUAAUGGCCCACCAAGACUAUUACAGGUACGGGCUCUGAGAGGAGUAGCCCGGAGAUGGGUACUGAGACACGGACCCAGGCCCUAUGGGGCGCAGCAGGCGAGAAAACUUUGCAAUGUGCGAAAGCACGACAAGGUUAAUCCGAGUGAUUUGUGCUAAACGAAUCUUUUGUUAGUCUUAGAACCACUAACGAAUAAGGGGUGGGCAAGUUCUGGUGUCAGCCGCCGCGGUAAAACCAGCACCUCAAGUGGUCAGGAUGAUUAUUGGGCCUAAAGCAUCCGUAGCCGGCUCUGUAAGUUUUCGGUUAAAUCUGUACGCUCAACGUACAGGCUGCCGGGAAUACUGCAGAGCUAGGGAGUGGGAGAGGUAGACGGUACUCGGAAGGAAGGGGUAAAAUCCUUUGAUCUUUUGAUGACCACCUGUGGCGAAGGCGGUCUACCAGAACACGUCCGACGGUGAGGGAUGAAAGCUGGGGGAGCAAACCGGAUUAGAUACCCGGGUAGUCCCAGCUGUAAACUAUGCAAACUCAGUGAUGCAUUGACUUGUGGUCAAUGCAGUGCUGCAGGGAAGCCGUUAAGUUUGCCGCCUGGGAAGUACGUACGCAAGUAUGAAACUUAAAGGAAUU